rnacentral:sRNA from 1 species
UCACUCUUCGCCUACGUCUCUGAGUAUGUUAGUAAGCUGAUUGGCUAUACCAAGG